AAGAAAUACUCAAGAGAUUUCUUUCACUUUACUUAAUUAGCAUCAAGCAUUUAAUCUGACUGUACUUAGUUUUUAAAAACCUUUUGUUAACUGCAAAUUUAUCUUGUGCUUCAGAAGGUUCCUCCAACACUAACUUUCUCACCAUUGGCCAAGGUCAGUUUCUGCUGGACUGUGAGCCAGCAGGUCAGCGGCCCAGCUCAGGUUCUCUGUUUUCAGACAGAAACUAGGCCCGGGGCGGGGGACCUGUGUUCUUCCUAAGUCUAUCAAGCUGAGAUCAGAAUAAAGAUUUUAUAGAUACCAAACAGGCAGAAAGCUGCCGGACACUGUGGACUUCAAAUUCUUCAACAAAAGAAAGGCUUGCACCUAUUAUAUCCAUAG
rnacentral:lncRNA from 1 species